ACCCAUUUUUGUUCAUAUUACAAGUAUUUUUUUCCAAACAGGCAGUGGGUUUUCUUUGUAAUGAAUGGAAGAGUUUGAUUUUGGACUUCAUAAAAGACUGCUACACAGAAUUUAGUGGAAGAAGAAAUACUGCAAACAGGCUGUAUAGCACGCGGCAAAGCAAAGAACCAACUGUACUAAAGCAAGAAAGCAGUAUGUGGAGAUUGCAGUGAAUGCAGAAUGACUAAGCUCUGUACUUACAAAGGUAGUAUUUAAAAAGAUCAGGAGCAUUGAACAGAUCCAUGGCUUGUCAGUGGUACAGGCAGAGCAGAAACUCUGAAGGUGUUUGUGGAUGCUUUUGAAAAGGGAUGGUUUGGGGAAGGAUGCCCAGGUUGCUUUAUCCUGAAGUGGAGCUGAACCU
rnacentral:lncRNA from 1 species